CGUGGACUUCAGGAGCUAAGAGCCCUUGGUCCACACCUUGGCCUCUUCCCCUCGGAGCCCAUGAGCCCAGCGCUCCCUCCUGGAGCCCAACACAGUGACGGCUGGGAGAGGCAUGAGGGGUUCCUGGAAGGGGAACAGAAGACAUGGAGACGUACACGCCCAGAGGGAAGGGGCUGCAUGAGGACGAAGGCAGAGACAGAAGCAGUGAAGUCACAGGCCAGAGGCUGCCCAGGCUGGUCCGCAGCCAGCAGAGGCUGGGAGGGGGAGCGAGGAAGGGUCCUCCGUGAAGCCUUCAGAGGGAGCGUGGUUCUGCCCACACGUUGACUUCACACUUCCCACCUCCCGAAGAGGUCCUUGGGAGUCCUAAGUCUGUGGACUCGAGUGGGAAGGGGAGCUCUCUGCCGAAACAGGAACGCCGAGUGGGGGAGAGGAGGCAAGAAUGGCGCUCCGAGCUUGUGUGCACGGGAGAAGCAGGCAGGCCUCCUGGCUCAAUGGAAGGUCACCAGAGCAAACGUCAAGUGGCUGCAACGCUGGUCCCCAGGCCCUGGGGUGCUUAUUGCCAAGAGACGAAUUUGGCCUGUGUAAUCUGCAACGUGGUUUUUAGCAGGAAAAUGCUCUCAUUCUGUUCAACAUGCAGUCCUUCAUGUAGCCUGGUAGCUCUGACCUGACUUCCCAGCUUUGACAAGAGACCACCUCCAAAUAAAUCACGGAGAUCUCAGCCCUUUGGGGCUGGUUGGUUGGUUUUCCCUGGGAGAUCUCCUCGUGUCUCUUAAAUGAUGUAAGGUUGCUGUAUUUUAACAAUUAAAUUAAAAUUCAAAAAGUAUUUUUUGCUCUUUUUAGUCUCAUGUUUUUCUGUUCUAAG